ensembl:lncRNA
GGGAAAAAAAAAAGGACCACUCAUUAAUCCUAACCUGAGGCUCCCAGGGAUCCAGCCUUGUGGGAUCCAGCCACCAUUAUAAAGCCCAUUUAACAUCUUCAAGCUGCAAAUGGCAGACUCAUCUUGCAUGGUCAUCUACUGACAGAGCAGCCGCUGUUAGCUUCUGAGGUCUCAGCCAGGUCGUUAGGCAGCUCAGGUUGCAAAGGAGUCAUCGUGGCUCGAGGCAAUUAGCAGACAAAGCGACUCAUUCUAUAAUGGAUGAUAAAAACUCUUGGCUGUGCAUGUAUGACAACUGAUGCCUCCUUUAUCCACUUCAGAGACGGACCGGCCAUUGCGGCUCACAAAGACCAAGAUUAUAGCUGGGCUUCUGGAAGAAGAAGAGAGACUGAAAAAGAGCAUGGAGCUUUGGAAUAUCAUUAGUCAGGCUAAAAUGCAGGGUAGAGAGUCUAAACGUUAUGCUUUCUUUUCCAUUUCAGUGCAGCAUACAGAGGUGGAAAAACUGCCAUACUCUCAAGAAUUUCUUUGCAGCACAGCAGAGAUAAAUUACGUAGAAAACCAUAAGCUUAUAAAAUAGAUGCCAGUGUGGCAAGAAAAUAAAACCAGACAUUCAUUUUUGGGAAAGACAUGUAAUAAUUAUCCUGUAGUGUGAAGCUACUUGCAAACAAAAACAUUUAGGGCAAUCAGUUCACUACAAAAAUAUAUUCUACACUGAUGCUAAAAUACCCAGCAUACUGAGACAGUACCAAAAUAUUUCCUUGUGUGGUCUAAAUAGCAGCCAACCCCAAUUAAAACAGGCCCCAGGUACAGAGUCACAUACAUACUCUUUCUCUCUCUCUCUCUCUAUAUAUAUAUAUAUAUUAAAAAAAUUUCACUACAAUAGUUUACAAUUACAUUCCUAAAUUACAUUAUUCAUUGCUGGCAUAAAAACAGGUUUACAAAAAACAUUGUUUAAAAAAAACAAAGAAAAUACAAAAGCCAACCCCCCCCCAAAACUUACAGCAUUGUGAGCUCUGCAGUAGUGCAGAAGUACCUAUGGCCGGUUUAUCUUAGAGUGGAUUGUGGCGACUGGGCUGUGCUAGCAGUGUACAGGGGCACAAUACAGUGUGUAAUGCUAGUAAAAAAUUAGUACAUAACAACAACAAAAGUUAACAUCAGUGUGAUUCAAACAUACAAAAAACAACUUCCUUGUCUUGUUUUUCUGUCUGGGGCAUCACCAACGAUUUUCCCUUGAUUGUUCAUCUGAAUGAGUAGCUCAUUUAAGUCAAAAUUUAAAGAAAAAAAAGAAAGAUAAAAUGUCAGCUUUUAAGAGUAAAGUUUGACUGGAAGGCAAAGUUAUGACGAGUCAAAAAUUACAAUACCAGUAAGCAAAACAUAGUUGAGUAGGAAGUAUGGGAUUAAAUAAAUAUUGAAAACCUGCAUGCAUGUAAAAAUUAUGAGCAGAGUUAAAAUUAAAAUAAAAAAUUAGGUCAAAAUAUUUAAAUACAAGCAAUGACUUAACAUGCUUUAUGGAAGGUACAUGAGUCCUAAAAAAAUGACAUAACACAAUGCUUAAAUUAAUAACUUUGAAUUUUUAUCAUGUUUGACUAAAAACUAUGAGGUAAAAUUAAGGUACUAAGUCAAAAUUACUAAAAAAUUUUACUUACUGUUUAAUGAUUUUAAAGUUCAAAAACAAUGAAGCAAAAAAAAAUUGAUCUUUUUGUCUGAAUCGAUCACUUGGGAUUAACUUAACUCAAAAAGACAGUGUAUUAGUGUAUAACAUUUUGAUUUCACCUCAACUUUAAUCUAGUAUCUCAUAAUUUGUACUGAGAGUGAGUAGUUUAGAUUUUUUAAGUCACUCUUACCUUUUCAUCUAUUUUUUCAUUUAAUGGCAGAAAUGGGCCUCUGUACGUUAAAUGUGAGGUUUCAGAAAACAGGCACGAACCACAUCACAGAAUUUCUCUCUGGGGAUUAAUAAAGUCAGUCUAUCACCUUUAAACAACAAAACAUUUUCAUCAACAUUAUUUAAAGCAUUCCCUGCAUUUCUUCCAGCUUAAUGUCCACAUGAGGAGAUGAAGACUGGUGAGAUGCCCCACAGAGGAUGGUGAUUGUACAAAUCGUUCCCAGGCUGGUGGUAAUGAAGGCUUUCAGAAUGAUGAGGGUAUUUAAUUCUGCUUCAACAAGAGGCAUCUAUGGCAGUCAUAGGAUGCUGGCUUAAUGAAGUAUGGCAUUAGUCCAAUGUCAGGAAUGUGCUUCAUGUAGCUUUGUGUUAAAUGGGAUGCGUGACCAUGCUGUGGCGACAGUGUGGUCCUUAUAGGCACAGGUGGCGUCUCCUCCUUCAAACUGUCUGCUCCACAAGUCUUCAGCAGCUUCGUGGAGCUCCAGAGAGCGCUACUACCAAGAGCCCUUUAGUGUCUCUCUAUGGGGUGGGGUGGGGUGGGGUGGGGUGGGGGUAGUCGCACACAGAGGCGAGGGGUCAGUAGUGGUUAUGUUAGCUGAGCAGCUGGCAAACGCUGCUGCAGGACUACAGUAUGCUUCAUACACAUCAACAUCUCCGUUCUCU